rnacentral:rRNA from 1 species
UUUUGGACAAUGGGCGCAAGCCUGAUCCAGCAAUGCCGCGUGCAGGAAGAAGGCCUUCGGGUUGUAAACUGCUUUCGUACGGAACGAAACGGUCCUGGUUAAUACCUGGGGCUAAUGACGGUACCGUAAGAAUAAGCACCGGCUAACUACGUGCCAGCAGCCGCGGUAAUACGUAGGGUGCAAGCGUUAAUCGGAAUUACUGGGCGUAAAGCGUGCGCAGGCGGUUUUGUAAGACAGGCGUGAAAUCCCCGGGCUUAACCUGGGAAUGGCGCUUGUGACUGCAAAGCUGGAGUGCGGCAGAGGGGGAUGGAAUUCCGCGUGUAGCAGUGAAAUGCGUAGAUAUGCGGAGGAACACCGAUGGCGAAGGCAAUCCCCUGGGCCUGCACUGACGCUCAUGCACGAAG